AUUGAGCGCUGGCGGCAGGCCUAACACAUGCAAGUCGAGCGGAUGAAGAGAGCUUGCUCUCUGAUUCAGCGGCGGACGGGUGAGUAAUGCCUAGGAAUCUGCCUGGUCGUGGGGGACAACGUUUCGAAAGGAACGCUAAUACCGCAUACGUCCUACGGGAGAAAGUGGGGGAUCUUCGGACCUCACGCUAUCAGAUGAGCCUAGGUACGAUUAGCUAGUUGGUGAGGUAAAGGCUCACCAAGGCGACGAUCGUUAACUGGUCUGAGAGGACGAUCAGUCACACUGGAACUGAGACACGGGCCGGAGUCGUACGGGAGGCAGCAGUGGGGAAUAUGGGACAAUGGGCGAAAGCCUGAUUCAGCCAUGCCGCGUGUGUGAAGAAGGUCUUCGGAUUGUAAAGCACUUUAAGUUGGGAGGAAGGGCAGUAAGUUAAUACCUUGCUGUUUUGACGUUACCGACAGAAUAAGCACCGGCUAACUUCGUACCAGCCGCCGCAGUAAUAC
rnacentral:rRNA from 1 species